ensembl:lncRNA
UUUGCAGAAAUGAUCCUCCAGGGACAACAAGGGCACCUCCAAUGCCUCCCUAUCGCUCAAGAGCGGGAGAGACUUGGGACUUUGUUGUUCAACUCCCUUGGUAAGUAGUAGACAUAUGUACGGUAUGGGUGCUCCUUAUUGAGCUCUGCUGGCUACCUGUAGCUGCCUGCAUUAAGUUUAACUUACUGAUGAUUUGGAGUGGUAGCUUUAACUUGUAAAUUCGGAGGAUGUCAUACUUCGGAGUACAUUGUUACUACAUCAUUUCAAGCAUAAAAUACGACAUUAAGUUUAUGUUCAAAAUCAGAUGCUAUUUAUUUACGAUCUUUCUUAGAAGGAUGAGGUGAAUACAGUCUUGGUUCUACACACAUUGAAAUAAGCAUGCAGAAUGAAUCAUUAUUUUCAUGAUUAUUAUUUGGUUUUUGAAACAUUAUAAUAACAUUAAAAUGACAUUAAGAAACAUGUUCAUUUCUUUUAGAUACAAAGACUCUAAGAAGAAAAAAGGCAAGGGUUAAUUAUCAAAAUAUACAUACUGUUUCUCAACACAUUGUAUACUUAACUCAAUGUUUUUUUCUCUUUUCUAGGGAAAAAUCGCCAAGUCUAAAAAUACAGGUAAGAACAGCCACAGACUGGGACUAAUUUUAGGUGUAUUGAGAUUCUAGGCAAGUCUGUUUGGUAAGUAGGGCUGAUGUAUGUAGACAAGCUACAACCAAACCUAGUAUAAUUGUUAAUGUUAAGUAAAUUUGUACCAAUGUUGUUCCAAGACGGGUUCUGCUCUUGAUUAGCUUAGGUACACACACACACACACACAGUCUUAAAUACAGUAGAUGGUGAUCAGCAUUCGAGUCACUCACUAACAACAUACAUGUAGGGAUCUUUUCAGUAAGCAAUUGUGUCUUUGAUGUAUUAACUUUGCUGUUAGAAAAGUACAGAGAUCUUUCUUUUGAAACAGUUUGUUCCCUGAAUGCUGUUCUCUGAUUGGUCUUAAAUAUAGUAGAUGGUGGCCUUGCACAGGAAUCUGAGUCCACAGAGGGUGAACAAGUAUUAUUCGAAGUGGAGAGUGUUCUCCGGUUACCUGACGGGACCAAGGCCAAAAGAAGAAUGUCUGGCCCUUGCAGAGGAUGUAAAUUACAUGGGUUUUAAAUACCUACCAAUUCAAAAAAUUGGCCAGGCUUGCCUGGAGGAGGACCAACAUCUUGAGGCCAUCGUCAAGGCCCAACACUGCAGGCAGACACUAACAAGCAUAAAGACCGCGAUGGAGGCCAACUUGUCCUAUUACAACCUCGCUACGCAUGGCCUUGGGCCAGAAAUGUUGAAGGGUGCGUUUUCUUUAAUUGAUGCGUGCCUGGUCGAGGCAGAGAACCUCCACUGCCUCCAGAAGUAA